rnacentral:misc_RNA from 1 species
UCCGGUUUGUCACCGGCAGUCCCAUUAGAGUGCCCAACUCAAUGUGGCAACUAAUGGCAAGGGUUGCGCUCGUUGCGGGACUUAACCCAACAUCUCACGACACGAGCUGACGACAGCCAUGCAGCACCUGUGUUCCAGUUCUCUUGCGAGCACUCCCAAAUCUCUUCGGGAUUCCGGACAUGUCAAGGGUAGGUAAGGUUUUUCGCGUUGCAUCGAAUUAAUCCACAUCAUCCACCGCUUGUGCGGGUCCCCGUCAAUUCCUUUGAGUUUUAAUCUUGCGACCGUACUCCCCAGGCGGUCAACUUCACGCGUUGGCUGCGCUACUGAGGUUAAUAAACCCCAACAGCUAGUUGACAUCGUUUAGGGCGUGGACUAC